ensembl:snRNA U6 U6 spliceosomal RNA
GUUCUUUGGCAGCACAGAUACUAAAAUUGGAACGAUACAGAGAAGAUUAGCAUGGCCCCUGCACAAGGAUGACAUGCAAAUUCAUGAAAAGAGAUCAGCUUUU